rnacentral:lncRNA from 1 species
GUUCUGGGAGUGCCACAUGGAGAAAACUUCCACAUCACUGUAAAAUGCUUCAUGGUGAAUAAAGAGAAAAGACUCCUCUAAGGCAGGUGAGAUGUCACACCUACUUCCUUCCUUUUCCACCUGUGUGACAGUAAUUGUGCCAGGAGAGGUCUGUACAUAAAUCUCUGCAAAAACUGCAUUUGCUCAGUCACGGACAGAGCUUCCAGCAAGCAUUUCUGUUUCUGUUUGGGUGGCAGUUCAUGGCUCAUUGGAACAUUUGCACUCUGGUAAUUUUUUUUUUCCUUUUCUACUAAAUAUUUGAACCAUUUGUACUUUUCAUCCCCUUUUAUAGUACCAUUAGGAACAGCUGUAAAGUGUUUUCAAAUGCCAAGUUUAACUGGGAAAAUACUUUUAAAAACUACAAAGGCUACUUUUGCUUAUGUGAUUGAUGGUGGUGUUGAAAAGCCAAAGUGCAUGCAGGUAUGGUGUUAGAGGGUACCAGAUGGUGUUUCUUCUCCAGGAAAAGGAAAAUGAACCCAUUGCCUCUCUAUUGUUUCCCUUUUAUUUGUGUUGCACGAGAAAUUAGCAUCUUUCUGUGAGAUCAUGUGGCAAACCAACCUACCUUGGGACAUUCUUCUCCUCAGGGAAUAUUUGGCUUGUCAUCGUUAUGGGAGCACUCAUAAAGGCCCAGAUGAAAUUCCGAUUGGGUUUGCCCAAAGUCCAUCAGACCCUUUCUUUGCUGCCAGCAGCAGCUUUGGGACCCAGCACAAAGCCCCUCUCGCUCUGGGGUUUGGUGCAGGAUGCAGCUCACAGAUCUGGGCAGACCCUUCAGCAGGGUGUUGUCUGAAUUUGUCAGUCCCUGUGACUGCUCUUCUGUCAUUCCUACUGUUGCACUGGGGCGAGUGA